rnacentral:rRNA from 1 species
AUACAUGCAAGUAGAACGCACAGGAUGCACCGUAGUUUACUACACCGUAUUCUGUGAGUUGCGAACGGGUGAGUAACGCGUAGGUAACCUGCCUGGUAGCGGGGGAUAACUAUUGGAAACGAUAGCUAAUACCGCAUAAGAACAUUUACUGCAUGGUAGAUGUUUAAAAGGUGCAAAUGCAUCACUACCAGAUGGACCUGCGUUGUAUUAGCUAGUAGGUGAGGUAACGGCUCACCUAGGCGACGAUACAUAGCCGACCUGAGAGGGUGAUCGGCCACACUGGGACUGAGACACGGCCCAGACUCCUACGGGAGGCAGCAGUAGGGAAUCUUCGGCAAUGGGGGGAACCCUGACCGAGCAACGCCGCGUGAGUGAAGAAGGUUUUCGGAUCGUAAAGCUCUGUUGUUAAGGAAGAACGAGUGUGAGAAUGGAAAGUUCAUACUGUGACGGUACUUAACCAGAAAGGGACGGCUAACUACGUGCCAGCAGCCGCGGUAAUACGUAGGUCCCGAGCGUUGUCCGGAUUUAUUGGGCGUAAAGCGAGCGCAGGCGGUUAGAUAAGUCUGAAGUUAAAGGCAGUGGCUCAACCAUUGUAGGCUUUGGAAACUGUUUAACUUGAGUGCAGAAGGGGAGAGUGGAAUUCCAUGUGUAGCGGUGAAAUGCGUAGAUAUAUGGAGGAACACCGGUGGCGAAAGCGGCUCUCUGGUCUGUAACUGACGCUGAGGCUCGAAAGCGUGGGGAGCGAACAGGAUUAGAUACCCUGGUAGUCCACGC